GGGCCCGCACAAGCGGUGGAGUAUGUGGUUUAAUUCGAUGCAACGCGAAGAACCUUACCUGGUCUUGACAUCCCGGAGACCCUUAGGAAACUAGGGGGUGCUUCCAUUAGGAAGAAUCUGGAGACAGGUGCUGCAUGGCUGUCGUCAGCUCGUGUCGUGAGAUGUUGGGUUAAGUCCCGCAACGAGCGCAACCCUUGCCUUUAGUUGCCAGCAGUUCGGCUGGGCACUCUAAAGGGACUGCCGGUGUUAAACCGGAGGAAGGUGGGGAUGACGUCAAGUCCUCAUGGCCUUUAUGACCAGGGCUACACACGUACUACAAUGGCCGAUACAAAGGGCAGCGACACUGCGAAGUGAAGCCAAUCCCGUAAAAUCGGUCUCAGUCCGGAUUGGAGUCUGCAACUCGACUCCAUGAAGUUGGAAUCGCUAGUAAUCGUGGAUCAGCAUGCCACGGUGAAUACGUUCCCGGGCCUU
rnacentral:rRNA from 1 species